UAGGGAAUCUUCGGCAAUGGACGAAAGUCUGACCGAGCAACGCCGCGUGAGUGAAGAAGGUUUUCGGAUCGUAAAACUCUGUUGUUAGAGAAGAACAAGGACGUUAGUAACUGAACGUCCCCUGACGGUAUCUAACCAGAAAGCUACGGCUAACUACGUGCCAGCAGCCUCGGUAAUACGUAGGUGGCAAGCGUUGUCCGGAUUUAUUGGGCGUAAAGCGAGCGUAGGCGGUUUCUUAAGUCUGAUGUGAAAGGCCCCGGCUCAACCGGGGAGGGUCAUUGGAAACUGGGAGACUUGAGUGCAGAAGAGGAGAGUGGAAUUCCAUGUGUAGCGGUGAAAUGCGUAGAUAUAUGGAGGAACACCAGUGGCGAAGGCGGCUCUCUGGUCUGUGACUGACGCUGAGGCUCGAAAGCGUGGGGAGCAAACAGG
rnacentral:rRNA from 1 species